UCACUUUGUGGCAGUACAUAUGUUGAAAUUGGAACAACAUAGAGAAGAUUAGCAUGUCCCCUAUGCAAGAAUGACAUGAAAAUUUGUGAAGUGCUCUGUGUUUAU